UGGGGAAUAUUGGGCAAUGGGGGAAACCCUGACCCAGCAACGCCGCGUGAAGGAAGAAGGCUUUCGGGUUGUAAACUUCUUUGACGAGGGACGAAAGAAAUGACGGUACCUCGAAAACAAGCCACGGCUAACUACGUGCCAGCCGCCGCGGUAAUACGUAGGUGGCAAGCGUUGUCCGGAUUUACUGGGUGUAAAGGGCGCGUAGGCGGGAGUACAAGUCAGAUGUGAAAUGCCAGGGCUUAACCCUGGAGCUGCAGUUGAAACUGUAGUUCUUGAGUAGCGGAGAGGCAGGCGGAAUGCCUAGUGUAGCGGUGAAAUGCGUAGAUAUUAGGAGGAACACCAGUGGCGAAGGCGGCCUGCUGGACGACAACUGACGCUGAGGCGCGAAAGCGUGGGGAGCAAACA
rnacentral:rRNA from 1 species